rnacentral:rRNA from 1 species
UACGUAGGGUGCGAGCGUUGUCCGGAAUUAUUGGGCGUAAAGAGCUCGUAGGCGGUUUGUCGCGUCGACUGUGAAAACCCGAGGCUUAACCUCGGGCCUGCAGUCGAUACGGGCAGACUAGAGUUCGGUAGGGGAGAUCGGAAUUCCUGGUGUAGCGGUGAAAUGCGCAGAUAUCAGGAGGAACACCGGUGGCGAAGGCGGAUCUCUGGGCCUUACCUGACGCUGAGGCGCGAAAGCUAGGGGAGCGAACAGG